CUUAUUGGUUAAUGAUGAUAAAUCCAAAGGCUUGUUUUUCAAACAUUCGCAGUGGCCGCCUAAGAG
rnacentral:sRNA from 1 species